rnacentral:rRNA from 1 species
CACUCCUACGGGAGGCAGCAGUAGGGAAUCUUCCACAAUGGGUGCAAACCUGAUGGAGCAAUGCCGCGUGAGUGAAGAAGGUCUUCGGAUCGUAAAGCUCUGUUGUUAGAGAAGAACACGUGCUAGGUAACUACUAGCGCCUUGACGGUAUCUAACCAGAAAGUCACGGCUAACUACGUGCCAGCAGCCGCGGUAAUACGUAGGUGACAAGCGUUGUCCGGAUUUAUUGGGCGUAAAGGGAGCGCAGGCGGUCUGUUUAGUCUAAUGUGAAAGCCCACGGCUUAACCGUGGAACGGCAUUGGAAACUGACAGACUUGAAUGUAGAAGAGGAAAAUGGAAUUCCAAGUGUAGCGGUGGAAUGCGUAGAUAUUUGGAGGAACACCAGUGGCGAAGGCGAUUUUCUGGUCUAACAUUGACGCUGAGGCUCGAAAGCGUGGGGAGCGAACAGGAUUAGAAACCCGUGUAGUCC